rnacentral:rRNA from 1 species
UAAGGAAUAUUGGUCAAUGGACGCAAGUCUGAACCAGCCAUGCCGCGUGGAGGAUGAAGGUCCUCUGGAUUGUAAACUUCUUUUAUCUGGGAAGAAAUCCAUUUUUUCUAAAAUGGUUGACGGUACCAGAUGAAUAAGCACCGGCUAACUCCGUGCCAGCAGCCGCGGUAAUACGGAGGGUGCAAGCGUUAUCCGGAUUCACUGGGUUUAAAGGGUGCGUAGGUGGGUAAGUAAGCCAGUGGUGAAAUCUCCGGGCUUAACCCGGAAACUGCCAUUGAUACUAUUUGUCUUGAAUACUGUGGAGGUCAGCGGAAUAUGUCAUGUAGCGGUGAAAUGCUUAGAUAUGACAUAGAACACCAAUUGCGAAGGCAGCUGGCUACACAAAUAUUGACACUGAGGCACGAAAGCGUGGGGAUCAAACAGGAUUAGAUACCCUGGUAGUCCACGCCCUAAACUAUGGAUACUCGACAUUUGCGAUAAACUGCAAG